UACGUAGGGUCCGAGCGUUGUCCGGAAUCAUUGGGCGUAAAGCGCAUGUAGGCGGCCAUGUAAGUCGGAUGUGAAAUCCCGAGGCUUAACUUCGGAACUGCAUCCGGUACUGCGUGGCUUGAGGAAGGUAGAGGAGAGUGGAAUUCCCGGUGUAGCGGUGGAAUGCGCAGAUAUCGGGAGGAACACCAGCGGCGAAGGCGGCUCUCUGGGCCUUUCCUGACGCUGAGAUGCGAAAGCGUGGGUAGCGAACAGGAUUAGAUACCGAGUAGUCC
rnacentral:rRNA from 1 species